UUGCACACGUUUGACACUGAAUUGGAUGUGGUUUGGAGUGUUUGGAUCACGAUCAUAAAUAUCACUGAGUGGAUUGUACUGAUUCAUUACCGAUCUCUUACCUCUCCCUCCUUUAUAAAUGGUGAUGUGAACUCUGCCUGUGACUGUGAAGAAAAACAUCUCAGAACAUCCUCAGUGGCAGUGAGGAUCGCGCCCCCCCCCUUCCCCUCGGACAGAAACCCGAAUGAGAAGAGAUGCCCUGUUGAAAUAUUUACUAUCUGCCUCAGAAAAGCCCUGGGCAACCUGUUGAUUAGCAUUCAUUCUGUCUGUCUCAGUAGAAACCCUGCACAGCCUGUUGACCUCGAGUUUGUUGCAUCCUUGUGGCCCACCUGUGCUGAGAGAGGUGACUGUCCUUUGUCACGAACGUGAGGUUGGCACGCUUUGUCUGGAAUAUCCACUCUGACGGUGUCAGGAGAAGCCACCUUACUGUAAGACCGUGCACCUGCCGUAUACGUACUCGACUGAUAUCAUUCACCUCAAAUUCCGUACCUGUGGAAGAAGGAAGGAAGGCUGGAAUUACAUACUUACCGGACCCCUCACUUGCCAAACACAUCCCCACUUCAAGGCUGUGUAUCUGCCGUGUAAGGACCUGACCGAUAUCCAUCCGUCCCAAAUUCUGCAUCUGUGAAAAAGGGAAGGAAGGUUGGAAGUAUUUAAUUAUCAGAGGAGACUUACCAGACUGCUGGCUUGCCGAUCGUAUUCCCACCUGUGAAAUACCUACUUGACCACCCAUCUGUCCAUCUAUUGCGGGGCCCGCACAGAGGAAGAGGGCGGGAGAGUCCCCGGUCGCUGCACUGUUCACCUUUGAUCCCUGAGGGCAACAAAGAAGAAGAUUUUAGAUUAGGAUUUCCAAUUUGCUUUUACUUCAAAAAACUUGUUAAAUUUAUUCUCUGUCUCCGACUCUUCCCUCUGAUACGCUCCUCGAGGUGGUCCUGGUUUAGGGGUGGGCGCAGUCUAGCUUGGGUCUCCCGACCUGUGACACAUAUAUACAUAUAUACACACACGCAUUUGAUGGAAAACACAUAAUAGUGAGAGAAGAGAAUUCUUCCUUCUUCAAACUGUCUUCAUUUUAGUGUGGUUGUCUGGGCAGAUAUUGUUUGUGUAAUAUCAGCAUUUGUGUAAUAUCACUUUGUGUUUGUGUAGUAUCAGCAUGACUUGCUCAGCUUUGUAACAAAAAGCAGAAAUAUACCAUUUCGAAAGCACUGACCUAUGAACCUCAAACGUUCCUGUCCAGACUGUAAAAUCAUUGUUGGCUGCAAAGUCAACCGUUUCAUUAUUUUUGCAGACUAAAUGUCUUGGUAGUGCCACCUUAUAUUACUCUUCUCUCUCACCCUACUCCUUAAGCAUCUGUGAAGUGUUAAGUCAAGGU
ensembl:lncRNA